CGGCUUUAUUAUCCGUGCUAUUACAAUGUUACAAUGUAUCUUGUCAUGUAAUUGAAAGUGUCCACCUCUCGCUACAUUGAUCAGUUACUUGUUUGCAAAUGUGUUACUUUGUUACAAAUCUAGUGUUACUGUUGCUGUUUAGAAUCAAUGUGUCGUUCUAAGAAUCUGUUCUAGAAAAAAGCUUGUGCAAUCUCAUUUAUCUGUCCACAUUUUAUUUAGUUGUGUGCUUUUUAUAAGUUAUAUAUGGACCACAAUUAGAAACCUUCUAAUAGAUGAUUUAGCUUUUCUGGUCUGCUUAUUGUCAAGCCAUGUACAUGGUUAGGAAUGCCACUGUGCUACGGGUUUUUUUUGUUUUGACACUUCAAUGUUCUGCUUUGCUUCACCUCACAUGGACCAGGCUGCCUAGCCAUGUGCGGAUGCUUCUCGACUCUCACUGCUCAUUGGUCGAAAAGAGGCUGUAACGCAAUCAUUGCAUAAAUCUGCACGGAGUCCAAGCUCGAGGGCGGUAUGCAGGUCCAUGUGAGACUGAAGGAGGCAAUUUUGGUGCCCUAGAUUUGCUCUCUUUUAGACAUGACAGCUCCACAUGUGGGUGGGUUUUGGAAGCGAAUAGUUGUAGCUGGUUAGCUAAUCAUGGCCAGGUCUUCGAGACCAUUAACGACAUUUAGGGCUACAUAGUAUAAUAUAUUAAUUUAUGUUGAUUUUGUUUCUGAGCCUCCUGUACACCAAGCAACAGGUGUAUUAUUUUCCUAGCUGGGCUUAUUUAGCCCAUAUUUAAGCAUUUGGUUUAAUGUCAACCUUCUUAUGUAAUAACGUGAUUUAACACCAGUGACUACAAGAAUAACUUUGCUUUUGCCAGUGUAACCGAUGUGAAAUGGCUAGUUAGUUAAGGUAGUGCGCGCUAAUAGAGUUUCAACCGGGUGACGUCACUCGCUCUGAGACCUGAAGUAGUUGUUGUCCUUGCUCUGCAAGGGCCGCGGCUUUUGUGACGCGAUGGGUAACGAUGCUUCGUGGGUGUCAGUUGUUGAUGUGGGUUCCAACCCAGGUUGGGGCGAGGAGAGGGACGGAAGCUAUACUGUUACACCAGAAAGUAAAAAGUAUGUUAUAGUAUUGUGCCCUAUCAAGCAAAAGAACUGCUCAUAAAUGGAAACUUAGAAAAAUGACUUCAGCGUUUUUUAAUUGUCGAGCCAAAUGAAUUGUAGUCAGAUCAUUGGAGAUUAACUGUUGUCUUUUUUCCAGUUUAUUUUGUAUUCAUAUUGACCCUGAGCUCUGACAUUAUCUGGCAGUUACUGUCUUGUUGCUUGGUACACCCACUGGAAUCACGAUUUAUUUUUACAACGCAAACUUGUGUUCAUACAUUUAUUUGUAUGUGGCUGUCAGUGUCAGAUAGUUUGAUACUUGUUUCAACAAACAACAAUAAAUAAUGCCAAGGUAAACCAUAGUAACUACAGCCUAAAGCUUAGUGAUUCAAGGUAAAAAGCAGUAACUGAGGUGAGCGAUUGCAUUUACUGCUUUUUUCUUUGGUUUCACUAACUUUUACCAGCCACAGCAAACAUGAAGUCCCAUUUUAUCAGAAACACAUUUUGUCCACAUGAUAGAUCAUGAUAGAUCAUGUCCAGUUACUGCUCUUUUGCUUUGUAGAGGGCAGUAUUAUUCAAUAUAAUAUAUUAUAGAAGAACUGAGAAACCCAACCCCCAAAUAAAUAAAAUAAGUGCAUACAAAUGAUUACAGAAACACAUUAUUUUUCACAUUACACUGUAGUGUCAUGUUUUGAUGGUACACCAUUAACCCUCUAUGGCAUAGAGUUGCCCUCAGGCAACAAACUACCUUUUUGGACCUCACACCACCCCUUGAAUUUUUUUAAUAAAAAAUAAUAUAUAUGAUAUCACCUGACAUGUCUGUGUCCAAUGAAAUGAGGGGCUGAAGUGAGUGUGGCCUUUUGUCUGGGGGUGGAGCAGUCCUUUCAGGAAGCAAAGCCGCAUGGCACACAGUGCCACCAAUUGGAGAAUGCCUGUCUGUUGACAAUGAGACUGUGUCUGAGGAUGAGGAUGAAGAUGUAGCAGAGGUUGAUCUUCCACGCCUACCCCGGAGGAGAACACCCCACAAUGCAUACUUCAAUGCUUACCCAGAAUGGCAGGGCCUGCUUUCAAGAUCUGAUGAUAUCAGUACUUCAUCCAGUUUUUCUCUGAAGACAUUCUGGAAGUUAUUGUAGGGCAGUCAAAUCUAUAUGCGAUACAAUGUAACGCAAACAAGCCCCUUAACCUCACCUGCAAAAGAAUUGGAGCAGUUCCUGGGUAUUAUGGUGUACAUGUCAUUGUUUGGUUUACCAGGCACCCGCAUGUUUUGGAACAAAGCUUGCCGAGUGUCCCAAGUAGCUGUGACCAUGAUACUGAAUAGAUGGGAGGCCAUCAAAAAAUUCCUGAGGUUGACAGGUGGGAUCGCAAGCGAAAGAUGAUCACAAGUCCCCUGCCCUGCUGUGGUGAAAGAAUAUAACAAGAAUAUGGGUGGGGUGGAUCUGCUUGAAUCACUGAUUGCACUGUACCGGAACAAAAUCAGUUCAAAGAAGUGGUACCACAGGCUGGUGUUCCACUUCCUGGAUAUGAUCAUCGUGACCAUCUGGCUGCUCUACUGAAGAGAUUGUGAAGGCACUGGCAUGAGAAAGAAGGAACAAAUGAAGCUGUAUACCUUCAAGUUAUACAUCGCUGAAGGCCUAUGCAAAAGUGGAAAGACUCUGGAGCCCAAGAAAGGUCGUCCCAGUUCCACAAUUGCUGGUGAGUAUGAGGAGAAGAGGAGAAAAGGACCCGUUGCUCCAAUUCCAGUCCCUGAUGUGGGCCUGGAUGCCACAGCCCACUGGAUGAUUAUGGCUGAAAAGAAGGGGAGAUGCAAGGUACCAGGGUGCACAGGUACACCAAAAGCCAAGUGCCAGAAAUGUGAUGUCCACCUCUGUUUCACAUCCACCAGAAAUGUGAUGUCCACCUCUGUUUCACAUCCACCAGCAACUGCUUCCUGAGGUUCCAAACAGAAUCGGAAAUCAGAGUGUGCUUUGUCAAAAAGAGAAACACCGAUUCAAACAUUAACCCACACAAACACACAUUCAGAAACACUGAAACACACUCGCACAUACAGGCUAACCCCUCCAAACACACACAUACACACCACACACACACACAGUCAUUUGGAUGUUGGUUUAUAUGAAAAGUGAGAAACAUUUAUACAUGAGGUGUUAGUUGUAAUUAGUAGUAGUUUGUUUAUUUGAUUCUUGAUGUUUUGACUUUAAAGCUUCUAAUUGUGAUUGGUUGUAACUAUUUGUGGUUGAUGUUUGUCUAAAUAAAACUCGUUCUAAUUCA